UUGACCUCGGAUCAGGUAGGAAUACCCGCUGAACUUAAGCAUAUCAANGGGGAA
rnacentral:rRNA from 1 species